GUAAGGAAUAUUGGUCAAUGGACGAAAGUCUGAACCAGCCAUGCCGCGUGAAGGAUGAAGGCCCUCUGGGUUGUAAACUUCUUUUAUCUGGGACGAAAAAAGGGUAUUCUUACUCACUUGACGGUACCAGAGGAAUAAGCACCGGCUAACUCCGUGCCAGCAGCCGCGGUAAUACGGAGGGUGCAAGCGUUAUCCGGAUUCACUGGGUUUAAAGGGUGCGUAGGUGGGUAUUUAAGUCAGUGGUGAAAUCUCCGAGCUUAACUCGGAAACUGCCAUUGAUACUAUUUACCUUGAAUGCCCUGGAGGUAAGCGGAAUAUGUCAUGUAGCGGUGAAAUGCUUAGAUAUGACAUAGAACAACAAUUGCGAAGGCAGCUUACUACGGGGUGAUUGACACUGAGGCACGAAAGCGUGGGGAGCAAACAGGAUUAGAAACCCUAGUAGUCC
rnacentral:rRNA from 1 species